GGAAUAUCCAGCCCCUAUUCUGCCCUCUCUAUCUCCUAGUAGUGUUUUUUCUUCUUUGCUUUGAUCUGCUCGAGAGUACGCGGCUGAGGCGACGCGGCCAAGGAUCGAUCAGGGCUUCGGCGUUCCAAAGCUCCGGAGAUGGGGAAGCGUGGAGCGGCGGCAGCUACGAAUAAACAAAAUGGGAAGAAGAAGGCCCUCUCCGUGAAGGAGACCAAACCGAAGGCAGCCAAAGCGAAGAAACCCGUGAAAGCAAAGGGGAAAAAGGAUCCCAAUCAACCCAAGAAGCCAGCCACCGCAUUUUUCAUCUUUCUGGAAGAGUUUAGGCAGACGUACAAGAAGGAUCAUCCCGACGUCAAGGGAGUUGCCGCUAUAGGAAAAGCGGGAGGAGACAUGUGGAAAUCUUUGUCUGACAAGGAGAAGGAGCCUUACCACGCCAAAGCUGCCAAGAGGAAAGCCGACUACGACAAGGAUCUGGAAGCAUACAACAAAAAGAAGGACAACGAGGAGGAGGAAGAGGAGGAGGAGGAGGAUGGAUCCGCCGGAGAAUCAGAGGUAAAAUCCAAGUCUGCUGGCAAUGACGACGACGAAGAAGAGGACGCGGACGAUGACGAUGAUUAGAUGUCGAGAAAGCCAUCGAUCACAACCAGAUUCAAACAAUGUGUAUGCAUUCUUUCUGGUUUAGGCGCCAUUGCUUGGAUGAUAAUCGCUGUUUUUGCAGGAUCUCCAAAGCUUUCCUUCUUUUAUAUGCUGCUUUACACCGACGAGUUUUUCAAACACACACACGCACGCACACUCACACAAAGUUCACGAAAGUCUGGCAGUGUUUUACUUCUACUGUGUGCGAGAUGAACGAAUAAAGAAAGAUAUACCAAUUCAAUCCA